AGGAUUAGUAUUUCAUUCUGUAGUCAAUGGAUACUCACUGGAAAGUGUUUGAGGAAGUGAGGGGUGUGAGCUUUGUUUUAAGAUAAGAUGUUUAUGUCUGUGUCAUAACAAGCAGAAGGGAUUGGAGGAAACAGGCUGAAGACAGAUGCUGCAGUGGGAGUGUGGAGAGAUGUGAAGGCAACAGCAGGAAUAAUGAUAAGAUUGGUUGUGAGGUACUGUAUAGAUGAGAUGGAUAGGACCAGAGAUGCACCUGAGAGCAGGAGGAAAAGGAGAGGAAAAUGGUCAUGUGGGUGCCAGAUAGUACUGCAUAACCUCUCCUUUUGAAUUUGAGGUACCUGCGUCUGCCAAGAGUAGCUUUUCCAUUUCACAACCAUCACACUUUCCUGUGAGUUCAGAGUUAAUGAAGACAUGUGGAUGCAAAAGGAAAACUUGCAGAGCAAAGUCAUUGCCAAACAGGUUGUGUAGCCUGACCUGUGAAACAUUGUGAAGAAGGAAGAUCGCAGUUUCAGGGAAGAUGACUCGAUAACACCACAGAACAGCAGCCACUACUCACCACUCCGGCUAGGCUGGUUUCCCUGCCAUGGAGCUCGCCAUUCUUCGUCCUGUCACAAGCCAUUCACUGAUGAGCCAGGGGAAGCCGCAGAAGUUUCCAGAUCAGAGAAGUGCUGUGAUCUAAUUUGAGCUGUAACCACAAUAAAGAUAAGUUUUUAUAAUAGGAUAUUGGUUUAGGAGCUUUAACAAUGAGCAAAAUAAAAGUGCCUGAAACAAAAUAGCCUUUUUUGUUUGUUUGUUUUUUGAGAUGGAGUCUCACUCACCCAGGCUAGAGUGAAGUGCCAUCAUCUUGGCUCACUGCAACCUUCGCCCCCCAGGUCCAAGUGAUUCUCCCGCCUCAGCCUCUGAGUAGCUGGGAUUACAGGCACCAGCCACCAUGCUCGGCUAAUUUUUGUAUUUUUAGUAGAGAUGGAUUUUCGCCAUGUUGGCCAGGCUGGUCUCGAAUGCCUGACCUCAGGUGAUCCACCCACCUCGGCCUCCCAAAGUGCUCGGAUUACAGGCAUGAGCCGCCUUGCCCAGUCAGCUUUAUUUAUUUAUUUAUUUAUUUAUUUAUUUGAGAUGGAGUGUCGCUCUGUUGCCCAGGAUGGAGAGCAGAGGCGUGAUCUCGACUCACUGCAAC
rnacentral:lncRNA from 1 species